rnacentral:rRNA from 1 species
AGUGAACGCUGGCGGUAGGCCUAACACAUGCAAGUCGAACGGCAGCACAGUAAGAGCUUGCUCUUACGGGUGGCGAGUGGCGGACGAGUGAGGAAUACAUCGGAAUCUACUUUUUCGUGGGGGAUAACGUAGGGAAACUUACGCUAAUACCGCAUACGACCUACGGGUGAAAGCAGGGGAUCUUCGGACCUUGCGCGGUUGAAUGAGCCGAUGUCGGAUUAGCUAGUUGGCGGGGUAAAGGCCCACCAAGGCGACGAUCCGUAGCUGGUCUGAGAGGAUGAUCAGCCACACUGGAACUGGGACACGGUCCAGACUCCUACGGGAGGCAGCAGUGGGGAAUAUUGGACAAUGGGCGCAAGCCUGAUCCAGCCAUACCGCGUGGGUGAAGAAGGCCUUCGGGUUGUAAGGCCCUUUUGUUGGGAAAGAAAAGCAGCAGGUUAAUACCCCGCUGUUCUGACGGUACCCAAAGAAUAAGCACCGGCUAACUUCGUG